rnacentral:rRNA from 1 species
GACGAACGCUGGCGGCGUGCUUAACACAUGCAAGUCGAGCGGUAAGGCCCUUUCGGGGGUACACGAGCGGCGAACGGGUGAGUAACACGUGGGUGACCUGCCCUCAGCUCUGGGAGUAAGACCCUGGGAAACCGGGUCUAAUACCGGAUAUGACUCCAUGACGCAUGUUGUGGGGUGGAAAGCCUUGUGCGGCUGAGGAUGGGCCCGCGGCCUAUCAGCUUGUUGG